rnacentral:rRNA from 1 species
GGUCAAGUUAUUAAGGGUGCAGGGCGGAUGCCUUGGCACUAGGAGCCGAUGAAGGACGUGAUAAGCUGCGAUAAGCUUCGGGGAGUUGCACGUAAACUUUGAUCCGAAGAUUUCCGAAUGAGGAAACUCACUUAGAGUAAUGUCUAAGUAUCAUUAAGUGAAUACAUAGCUUAAUGAGGGGAACUCAGGGAACUGAAACAUCUAAGUACCUGAAGGAAGAGAAAGAAAUUCGAUUCCGUAAGUAGCGGCGAGCGAACGCGGAUUAGCCCAAACCAAUAAAGUUUUCUUUAUUGGGGUUGCGGACAUAUCAUAACGAAGAGGUAUCGUAAUUGAAGAGGUUUGGAAAGACCCACCACAGAAGGUAAUAGUCCUGUAUGUUAAACGAGAAGACUUUAGAUAUGAUCCAGAGUACCACGGGACACGUGAAACCCUGUGGGAAGCAGG